rnacentral:miRNA from 1 species
ACCUUAGAGACCAACUAAGUUUGUUCUGGGUAUAAGCUUUCGUGUGCAUGCAGACUUCUUCAGAUACUUCUUCAGAUGCAUGCACACAAAAGCUUAUACCCAGAACAAACUUAGUUGGACUCUAAGGU